UUAAGUUCAGCGCGUAUUCCUACCUGAUCCGAGGUCAACCAUUCCUUUUGUGAAAGGAGAAGACCGGGGUCCCGGGUGCCCUUGUCCGAUACGUGCUCGGUGAGAAGCUCAGUGUACCGGGGGAACCACAGGCCGCCGUCAUUGUCUUUGGGAGGGGCAGGAGCCCCCGAGGGGGCCUCCACCAAACCGUCCAACACCAA
rnacentral:misc_RNA from 1 species